rnacentral:tRNA from 2 species
GACUCGGUAGCUCAGUUGGUAGAGCAAAUGACUCUUAAUCAUUGGGUCGUGGGUUCGAGCCCCACCCGGGUCACCA